GAAAUGCGAUAAGUAAUGUGAAUUGCAGAAUUCAGUGAAUCAUCGAAUCUUUGAACGCACAUUGCGCCCGCCAGUAUUCUGGCGGGCAUGCCUGUUCGAGCGUCAUUUCGACCAUCAAGCCCCCGGGCUUGCGUUGGGGACCUGCGGCUGCCCGCAGGCCCUGAAAAACAGUGGCGGGCUCGCUGUCACACCGAGCGUAGUAGCAUUAUCCACCUCGCUCAGGGCGUGCUGCGGGUUCCGGCCGUUAAACCCCCACAACUCCAAGGUUGACCUCGGAUCAGGUAGGAGGACCCGCUGAACUUAA
rnacentral:misc_RNA from 1 species